rnacentral:rRNA from 1 species
AUUGAACGCUAGCGGGAUGCCUUACACAUGCAAGUCGAGCGGAGUGGCGAACGGGUGAGUAAUGUAUCGGAACGUGCCCAGUAGCGGGGGAUAACUACGCGAAAGCGGAGCUAAUACCGCAUACUAUUGGACCGGCCUAGAUCGGAUUAGCUAGUUGGUGGGGUAACGGCCAACCAAGGCGACGAUCCGUAACUGGUUUGAGGGGACGACCAGCCACACUGGGACGGAGAAACGGCCCAGCCUCCUACGGGAGGCAGCAGUGGGGAAUUUUGGACAAUGGGCGAAAUCCGUAUCCAGCCAUGCCGCGUGUGUGAGGAGGGUCUUCGGAUUGUAAAGCACUUUGGGUUGGAAGGCGUUACCGGCAGAAUAAGCACCGGCUAACUUCGUGCAAGCAGCCGCGGUAAUUC